AGUGAACGCUGGCGGUAGGCCUAACACAUGCAAGUCGAACGGCAGCACAGUAAGAGCUUGCUCUUACGGGUGGCGAGUGGCGGACGGGUGAGGAAUACAUCGGAAUCUACUUUUUCGUGGGGGAUAACGUAGGGAAACUUACGCUAAUACCGCAUACGACCUACGGGUGAAAGCAGGGGAUCUUCGGACCUUGCGCGAUUGAAUGAGCCGAUGUCGGAUUAGCUAGUUGGCGGGGUAAAGGCCCACCAAGGCGACGAUCCGUAGCUGGUCUGAGAGGAUGCUCAGCCAAACUGGAACUGGGACACGGUCCAGAAUACUACGGGAGGCAGAAGUCGGGAAUAUUGGAGAAUGGGCGCAAGCCUGAACCAGCCAUACCGCGUGAGUGAAGAAGGCCUCAGGGUUGUAAAGCCCUUUUGUUGGGAAAGAAAAGCAGCAGGUUAAUACCCCGCUGUUCUGACGGUACCCAAAGAAUAAGCACCGGCUAACUUCGUG
rnacentral:rRNA from 1 species